rnacentral:misc_RNA from 1 species
GUGCCAGUACUUUUCUUGUUUUCUCUAAAGCUUUUUCUUCAUCAUAUAUGAACUUGGGAAGUUUCCUCAUCAAAUCUUUUCGGUCUGCUCCGGCAAGUGCCUUGCUAAUCUGAGGCGCAUAUACACAGCCAAGUGUGCCAACUAUGAGCCCUCCCAAUACAAAACCUCCAAUAAAAAUGCCUGCAUUGCUUGACCGUCCGCCAUCACUAUAUGCAGCUUGAACUGAAAGUGGCCGCCUAAAUGUAGAGAGAUUCGCCUUUCCCACCCAACCAGGAUUGAGUA